AUUGAACGCUGGCGGCAGGCUUAACACAUGCAAGUCGAGCGGAGAUGAGGUGCUUGCACCUUAUCUUAGCGGCGGACGGGUGAGUAAUGCUUAGGAAUCUGCCUAUUAGUGGGGGACAACAUUCCGAAAGGAAUGCUAAUACCGCAUACGUCCUACGGGAGAAAGCAGGGGACCUUCGGGCCUUGCGCUAAUAGAUGAGCCUAAGUCGAUUAGCUAGUUGGUGGGGUAAAGGCCUACCAAGGCGACGAUCUGUAGCGGGUCUGAGAGGAUGAUCCGCCACACUGGGACUGAGACACGGCCCAGACUCCUACGGGAGGCAGCAGUGGGGAAUAUUGGACAAUGGGCGGAAGCCUGAUCUAGCCAUGCCGCGUGUGUGAAGAAGGCCUUUUGGUUGUAAAGCACUUUAAGCGAGGAGGAGGCUACUUAGAUUAAUACUCUAGGAUAGUGGACGUUACUCGCAGAAUAAGCACCGGCUAACUCUGUGCCAGCAGCCGCAGUAAUAC
rnacentral:rRNA from 1 species